rnacentral:rRNA from 1 species
GCAUAUCAAUAAGCGGAGGAAAAGAAAACAACAGUGAUUCCCUUAGUAAUGGCGAAUGAAACGGGAAUAGCCCAUCGCUGAACUGCAGGCCCUCUCGGUCUCGCGGAAUGUGGCGUUUGGGAGAGUCUUCUCACGGUGUGGACGGCCAGUCAAAGUCCAACUUGACAGUGGCCAUGGCCCAUAGAGGGUGAUAGGCCCGUAAGGCGGCUGUCCCGCUGUGCUGACUUUUCCCCAGAGUCGGGUUGCUUGGGAGUGCAGCCCAAAGUGCGAGGUAAACUCCUCGUAAGGCUAAAUAUGACCCCGAGACCGAUAGCAAACAAGUACCGUGAGGGAAGAUUGAAAAGAACUUUGAAGAGAGAGUUCAAGAGUACGUGAAACUGUGUGGUGGUAAACGGAGGGGCUCUCGAAGUUUCUGAGGGGAACUCAACCUUGGUGUCGCUGGGCCUGGGCGUAUUUGAUCAGCAAUGACUUUGCGCUUAGUCCCCAGUGCCUCCCGGACGCACUUUCUCCUCAGUUUACGGCAGGAACCGUUAGGAGUGGACCAAAGGCCCGGGGUGAAGUUGUCGGUUAUGCUGGCAGCCCCUGGUGUCCUGGCUUUGCACAUGACGCGUAUGUGAGCGGACUCGUAUAGCGAGCAAUUCUCUAUCCCGGUUCGCAUCUCUCUGCCGAGUAGGUCGGUGGCCUCUCCGACCCGUCUUGAAACACGGACC